GAGGGUAUAGCUCAGUGGUAGAGCACAUGCUUAGCAUGCAUGAGGUCCUGGGUUCAAUCCUCAGUACUUCCU
rnacentral:tRNA from 1 species